UGGAAGCGUCUGGAAAGGCGCGCGAUACAGGGUGACAGCCCCGUACACAAAAAUGCACAUGCUGUGAGCUCGAUGAGUAGGGCGGGACACGUGGUAUCCUGUCUGAAUAUGGGGGGACCAUCCUCCAAGGCUAAAUACUCCUGACUGACCGAUAGUGAACCAGUACCGUGAGGGAAAGGCGAAAAGAACCCCGGCGAGGGGAGUGAAAAAGAACCUGAAACCGU
rnacentral:rRNA from 1 species